GAGUUUGAUCAUGGCUCAGGACGAACGCUGGCGGCGUGCUUAACACAUGCAAGUCGAACGAUGAAGCCCUUCGGGGUGGAUUAGUGGCGAACGGGUGAGUAACACGUGGGCAAUCUGCCCUUCACUCUGGGACAAGCCCUGGAAACGGGGUCUAAUACCGGAUAACACUCUGUCCUGCAUGGGACGGGGUUAAAAGCUCCGGCGGUGAAGGAUGAGCCCGCGGCCUAUCAGCUUGUUGGUGGGGUAAUGGCCUACCAAGGCGACGACGGGUAGCCGGCCUGAGAGGGCGACCGGCCACACUGGGACUGAGACACGGCCCAGACUCCUACGGGAGGCAGCAGUGGGGAAUAUUGCACAAUGGGCGAAAGCCUGAUGCAGCGACGCCGCGUGAGGGAUGANGGCCUUCGGGUUGUAAACCUCUUUCAGCAGGGAAGAAGCGCAAGUGACGGUAC
rnacentral:rRNA from 1 species